AAUGAACGCUGGCGGCAUGCCUAACACAUGCAAGUCGAACGAAGGCUUCGGCCUUAGUGGCGCACGGGUGCGUAACGCGUGGGAAUCUGCCCUUGGGUUCGGAAUAACAGUUAGAAAUGACUGCUAAUACCGGAUGAUGUCGUAAGACCAAAGAUUUAUCGCCCAAGGAUGAGCCCGCGUAGGAUUAGCUAGUUGGUGGGGUAAAGGCCCACCAAGGCGACGAUCCUUAGCUGGUCUGAGAGAAUGAUCAGCCACACUGGGACUGAGACACGGCCCAGACUCCUCCUGGAGGCAGCAGUGGGGAAUAUUGGACAAUGGGCGAAAGCCUGAUCCAGCAAUGCCGCGUGAGUUAUGAAGGCCUUAGGGUUGUAAAGCUCUUUUACCCGGGAUGAUAAUGACAGUACCGGGAGAAUAAGCUCCGGCUAACUUCGUGCCAGCAGCCGCCGUAA
rnacentral:rRNA from 1 species